CCCUGGGAGCUGGCCUGUGAACAUCACCAUGAAGGCUAUCGGGUCUCUGCCCAUCCCCCUGGUGGCUGGGUGCGCUGGUGCUGCCGCAGGUCUGCUUCUGCUGCUGCUUCUCAUCUGUCUCUGCAGGAGGAUGAAGAAAGGUUCCAAGUGGGAGCGGAGGAGGAGAGCCCAGAACGAUGGUUUCUUCGGCAGUUACUCACCUAUGCCUCUGGAAACGAUCAACCCGGACACUCUUUAACCUCCAGGGGAAAUUACACCCCCCUCAGCUCCUUGCCUCCAUGUCCCCCGCAACAUCAUAGGACCAAUGAAGAUCUGUGAAGCUUACCACACUCACCGUGCACAUCCUCCCAAGGUCUCCUUCACGCCGGUGGGCACACACCAGGUGUCCAGCCGAAAACAUCCCUGGCAAAACGAGAUGUGAUGGUGUCUCUUUGCUGCUGCAGAGAGACUGAGACAGUUUGAAAGGAAGGAAGAAGUUUCUACUCUCCUAACUUCUCAUCAAAUCUCCCCUUUACCAGGAACAUUCAAACUGAUGUAAAUCUCUGUAAAUUUCCUGUCUCCUGUUGGCAUUAAA